rnacentral:tRNA from 1 species
AAGAGAGUAGUUCAAUUGGCAGAACGUUGGUCUCCAAAACCAUUGGCUGGGGGUUCGAGUCCCUUCUCUCUUG